rnacentral:rRNA from 1 species
AGAGUUUGAUCAUGGCUCAGGAUGAACGCUGGCGGCGUGCUUAAUACAUGCAAGUCGAGCGAGGACCACUCGGUGGCAACACCGGGUGACUCCUAGCGGCGAACGGGUGAGUAACACGUGGGCAACCUGCCCCCGACUCUGGGAUAAGCCCGGGAAACUGGGUCUAAUACCGGAUACGAGCCUCCUCCGCAUGGUGGAGGCUGGAAAGGGUCUCCGGUCGGGGAUGGGCCCGCGGCCUAUCAGCUUGUUGGUGGGGUAACGGCCCACCAAGGCGACGACGGGUAGCCGGCCUGAGAGGGUGAACGGCCACACUGGGACUGAGACACGGCCCAGACUCCUACGGGAGGCAGCAGUAGGGAAUCUUGCGCAAUGGGCGAAAGCCUGACGCAGCGACGCCGCGUGCGGGACGAAGGCCCUCGGGUUGUAAACCGCUUUCAGCAGGGACGAAGCGAAAGUGACGGUACCUGCAGAAGAAGGUCCGGCCAACUACGUGCCAGCAGCGGCGGUAAUUC